rnacentral:misc_RNA from 1 species
GAUGAAGAACGUAGCGAAAUGCGAUACUUGGUGUGAAUUGCAGAAUCCCGUGAACCAUCGAGUUUUUGAACGCAAGUUGCGCCCGAAGCCAUUAGGCCGAGGGCACGCCUGCCUGGGCGUCACACGUCGUUGCCCCCCCAUCUACUCCUUCGGGAUUGCGGGGGGCGGAUGAUGGCCUCCCGUGCGCCUCGCCGCGCGGUUGGCAUAAAUGCCAAGUCCUCGGCGACGCACGCCACGACAAUCGGUGGUUGCGAAACCUCGGUUGUCCGUCGUGUGCGGUCGUCGCGCAUCGAGGGCUCGAAAAAAUUGCCGGGUUCCGGCUCGGCUUUCAACGCGACCCCAGGUCAGGCGGGGUUACCCGCUGAAUUUAAGCAUAUCAAUAAGCGGAGGA